rnacentral:tRNA from 1 species
GCCGGAGUGGCGGAAUUGGCAGACGCACAGGACUUAAAAUCCUGCGAACCUUACAGUUCGUACCGGUUCGACCCCGGUCUCCGGCACCA